UUACUUAUUUUAGAAAUUGUGUGAUACAGAUUUAACUUAUAAUACUAUUUCUAGCCCCAAAUUGUUUAAGUGAAUUUGAUAAACUAGAUUAUUAUGUAUAACCAUUUCUUUCAGUUAAUGGUACUGGAGCAGAUGAUCAUGUAUUAAUAAAGUUGCCCAUGACAAAAUCCUGGCCCUUCCGACCCCCUAAGCCAGAAUUCUUUCUGUCAUUGUUUCAGGCUUCAAAAUGGUGAGAAGAUAAUGAGAAAAGGAAAGAAUCUAUGGAUAAGAAAGAAAGAUGUGAUUGCUUCCCCUUCUGCCAUGAUCGGAAGUCUCCUGAGACAUCCCCAGCCAUGUGGAACUAUAAAUAGGAAACCCUGCCAUGUUGAAAGGAAUACAACCCAACAUGGAGUAGAAACAAGAAAUCAAGAUAUACACUCUAGGACAAGGAGCAAUAAGAAUUUGACUUAAAAUGGUUAUUUAGCAUGUAUUAGAGUUGCAACUGGAUUUUAUGUAGUUAUGAGGGAACCCUGAAAAAAGUACCAUUGAACAGAAAUGAGAUUUGGUUUCAGAACUUCAGCCCAAAUGCUAUUAAAUCUUUUGCAUUUCUUGAACUAUACCCCUUGUGUCUUUGUCAUAAUUUUCCAGAGGUCUUCUCAGUCAAUAUGGGUUCAGUUUACAUAAUCCUGUCAACUGAAUAAAGUAAAUAUGUAUUAGGCUUCUGAGUAAAGUGUAAUCAUAAGCAUUGCAUUGAUAUAAGAUAUAUAAACUCAAGGAUAUAAAGAAACAAUUUUUUUGUUCGUUUUGUUUUGGUUUUGUUUUAAGUCAAAGGAAAGGUGUGGUUCAGGAGUGAUAAAUUGCAGCCUGGUGAUCAAGAAGAUUUAAAAUUUAUCUCAACUUUACUAAAGUCUUCCUGACUAUAGGCCCCUGACCAAUCUUUUCUUGGAGCACUUACUUCAGAAAAAUUGCAAAUGUUAAUUUUUUAUUUGCUGAUGAUGUAAUAUCUGUCUCAAGUAUCUGGGAAUCAUCAAUUUGAAAAGUAAUAGGAAAGAAAGAACCCUUGUCUCCUAGUUUCAGUGAAAUGAUAGGAGUUGUAGAUAAAUACCAACUAGCAACACAAAUGGCCUAAUAACAUUGCACAACCUAUUUGAUAACAUCAUUGUCUUCCAGUACUUUUCCAGUAGCUUCCCCUGGUGCUUAAGAAUUUACCCAACUUCUGUUUGAGUGGAGUGGAGUCAUUCUUUCUCCUUCACAAUAGUGUUGAAUAAA
rnacentral:lncRNA from 1 species